rnacentral:lncRNA from 1 species
AAGUCGUUUCUCAACCGUACAAACACGACCACCAUCUUUACAUCAUCAAGCCUCUCCUCCUGUUCCAGUCUUCCUUUGUGAAAUCACUUCCUCCACAGCCAGACGAAUAUAAAAGGGCUCUCUCCACAACAUUCUGGUGCUUCCAUUUUAGCUAACGAUGACAAAUUAUACCGAUCAUAAUUAUAACAGCAAUAAUAGUAGUGAUGAAGAUGAACCUUUUACUGCACUGUUGUUUUGAGGGGGGAGGGGGCUUACAGUACAUGAUACAGUACACAUUACUGCUGGUUUACAGUUGAUGUAUUACAUGUGUUACAGUUGCUUCAGAAGGCGUUGGUACAGAUACUCACAGACUCGACACCUGUAUGAUGUUAUAUCAUCAUCAUGUGACCUGAACUGACCGCUCACUCCAUAUCCUCCCUAGCUGCAUCCCAAAUAGCAUCCUAUUCCCUUUCUAGUACACUACUCAUGACCAGGACCCUGCACCACAAGGUCAAAAGUAGUGCACUAUUAUAAGGAAUGGAGUGAAAUUUGCAAUGUAAUCAACUGUCUUUAUUACCUGUAAGCCUAUCUAGUCUGGACCACCAGGCAGUGUAGCCAUACAUGUACUGAAACCUUAUAACACAGUCCUACAGUAACCAAUACAGCUCUGUUCUACUCAUCACAAAACUCCACUCUAUAAGGGGUAAACCAAUCACACGUGCUGUGAUGUCAUCAUAGAAUCGCUCUCAUGAUAGGCCAUUGUAUUUUUCUGGGGACUUCCAACUCUGUGCAAAGUACAGCUUCACUUGAGUCGACCAUGAAAUCUUUAUAAAGGGACGUUAAUAAUACGAGAAUAUACGAACGUAGUGCAGAAACGAUUAUCAUUUAAAAAGCUUUUGACGGGCGAUAUUUAACUGACAUAGUAACAACGACAAGGUGAUCUUUAAAAUGAUUUAUGGCAUAUCAAAUACCAAGAAGGAUCAUCGUUAAUGGUUCCAAUAUAAAUCUCUAUGUUUGGCUAAAGCCUCUUAGAACUAACGGUUGCUUUGAUAGAUAGAAGGGGUUAGAAGACAUUAAAAAGAGUAAGAAAAAAAAAGUGAAGCACAAUUGAAUAAAACAGAUUUUUUUUGUUGCAGACUCUGGCUAGUUUACAAAGAGAAACUGAUCAUCAAUAAUAACAUCGUUCACAAAGAGAAACUGAUCAUCAAUAAUAACAUAGCCUCUACUGUUAGUGUGGGUGGUUAGGGGCGGGGUCAGAAAACAGCCAAUAGAAAUGGUCCUAGAGGAAACAGAUAAGGGCUGAUACAGUGAUCCAUCCAUCGGACAGACUGCCUGUGUCGGACAGACUGCCUGUGUCGGACAGACUGCCUGUGUCGGACAGACUGCCUGUGUCGGACAGACUGUUGGUGAAAGGGUGUAAAGACUGUUGGUGAAAGGGUGUAAAGACUGUUGGUGAAAGGGUGUAAAGACUGUUGGUGAAAGGGUGUUGGUGAAAGGGUGUUGGUGAAAGGGUGUUGGUGAAAGGGUGUUGGUGAAAGGGUGUAAAGACUGUACUCUAUGGGCUGCUUUAAAGCGGAACGACCUAAUGAGGGGGACAGAGGGAGGAAGAGAGCGAGAACGGUGAAGACGGGGGUGAAGAGAGAGGUGGGGUUGAAGGGCGAGGGCGAGGGGUGAAGAGAGAGGUGGGGUUGAAGGGCGAGGGGGGGUGAAGAGAGAGGUGGGGUUGAAGGGCGAGGGGGUGAAGAGAGAGGUGGGGUUGAAGGGCGAGGUGAAGAGAGGUGGGGUUGAAGGGCGAGGGUGAAGAGAGAAGGGAUGUUGGUAUAUAGAGGAAUAUUAAAAUAAGCAAUAAAAUCACUGAUCAAUAAAAUCUAAUACAACUAAAUCAGACACGGAUAACAAUGGGAGAGUAAUUAUGUUGUUGUUGACUUUAUCCAUACUAGCUAGUGUCUAACUCAGGGUGUGACAUCAAUGUGUGUGUGUGUGUGUGUGUGUGUGUGUGUGUGUGUGUGUGUGUGUGUGUGUGUGUGUGUGAGUGUGUGUGUGUGUGUGUGUGUGUGUGUGUGUGUGUGUGAGUGUGUGUGUGUGUGUGUGUGAGUGUGUGUGUGUGUGUGUGCACGUACUCUUACGAGUGAGUCAAGAGGGAUGUGUGUGUGUCAGACUGCAGCUCGGUACAACUGUAGAGUUACCAAGUGUCUCUGCUUCACCCACAGACAGUAACUGACGAGGAACAGCAACAUCACUUCAGCACAAACACAGAGAGGGCUGGUAACAACUACUGUGUGUGUGUGUGAGUAAGUAUUCUUACGAGUGAGUCGACAGGGAUGUGCGUAAUUUUGCCAGCUAGCGGAGCGACUUAAGUUAGGCCCACUCCUCCUCCUGGCUGAACAGAAAUAGUCAUGACCUGCAGUGUCCCGUCAUCUUAUUGUGCUACAGUAACGUCAUGUGAAAAGGUUAAAGCAUUAUUCAUGGAGUGCAAAUUCCGUCACAAUAUUGUUUAGAACGUUCGUUUUGAACUGAUGCACGACUGAGCAUUCUACUCAAUGAGCGCCGAUGAAGAUUUCAUCAAAAGUGCAUUACAGUGGCUUGGGAAUACAAUGACACUCAAAAGGAGGCAAAUAAUUAGUAGGAAAACCUUUUGAUGUCGCCAGAUUGACUUUAGAUACAGUAUAACGUUAGCUAGCUAGCUAAGAUUGAGGUGAGGCCACCAGAUAGACUUUAAAUGCAGUGUAACGUUAGCUAGCUAGCCACCAGAUUGACUUUAGAUGCAGUGUAACGUUAGCUAGCUAGCCACCAGAUUGACUUUAGAUGCAGUGUAACGUUAGCUAGCUAGCCACCAGAUUGACUUUAGAUGCAGUGUAACGUUAGCUAGCUAGCCACCAGAUUGACUUUAGAUGCAGUGUAACGUUAGCUAGCUAAAAUGGAGGUGAGGCCAUUUUUUUUAUUAGGUUUUUGACAAACUUUGCUAGCUAAUGACAACAUUGCAAUCAAAGUAAAUUUGAAGGCAUGAUAACGCUUGCAAACUUUUUCCUACUAAAUACUUGACUACUUUAGCAAUGUCAUUGUAUUUCCAGAAUUACUUUUUUUUAAUCGCAACUUUAGGGCGCCGCCGAUAGAGGCCUGCUUGAGAACGUUCACAACAAUGGCAUGAUGCGACAUAGUGAGGGAGGUGCAUCCUAUGAAUAUGUACUCUCUGUGUGUGUGUGUGUAUAUAUAUAAAAAAUAUAUGAGUCGUAGUCGUUCAGUCAUGCUGGGUAUUAUAUGACCAGUGGGGCUCUUCUCUAGCCAGUCUAGGGGUUCAAAUCUGUCUGCUAGAUAGCCCUGAGACGACUGGAUUAAAAGACUGUUGUUGUUCUCAAUACUUCAUGUGGGAUUAAGAUCCAAAGUCUCGUUUUACAACAACCAUCAGAAGGCAGAGAUGAUUUGCUUGUAAACAGUUCCACAACCCUUGCACGCCAUGGAGUCUUGAGCCGCAGCUUUCCAAAAUCAUUUUGGUUGAAGUGUAUUUAGAUGUUAUGUUUGCUUUGGCAACUUUGGGCUUUGUGGGGCUAUGUAGAUGCUACUAAGGUAGUUGUGGUUGGAACUGGACUAUUUAGCAGACAGAAUGUCACCCUUUCUGUUUGUGUUUUAACUACAGUCCUGUAGAGUUUAGUCCAAUACUGUUACUACUGUCCUACAACUACAGUAACAACACUCCUAACAAUUCUCUGUACGCUUCAGCAAGUCAUAUCAAUAACCAGCCAUCAAUAAGACCCUGGUUUUCAUUUGGUAGUUGUUUGUUGACAAGUUAACGGGCCGUUUGUUGUGUCUCAGUGUAACGGAUCUUAACGGUGGGCUCAGUGAUUUAAAUAUCAACACUGACUGUGUACCCUAUGAGUAUAAGGCUGAAGAUCAACAACAGAGGCAGUCUUGUGGAAUCCUUAGGUUCUUCACAGGAACGAAGAGGAUCAGUCAGAAUGUAGGGAAUAGGGUGCCAUUUCAUCUGGGCAGGGUUUCCUUCAGUUAAACAGUUAAGAUUUUAGACCAGCGUUUCCCCAACUCAGUCACCCCCCCCCUCUCCCGGGUGCACCUUUUGGUUCUGACCCAGCACUACACAGCUGAUUCAAUAACCAACUCAUCGGCAAGCUUUGAUUAUUUGAAUCAGUUGUGUAGUGCUAGGGGGGGGGGGGAAACCCCUUGGCGUCCCCAGGUACGAGUUUGGGAAACAUUGUCUUAGGCCUAACCAUCAGAUAGAUAGAGCAUCAAGUCUUUGACAUGGUCUCCUUCUGUUGCCUUGCCUUGUCAGGGGUUCAUAUAGGGUGCCUCCCAAAUGGUACCCCAUUCCCUAUAUAGUGCACUACUUUUGACCAAAGCCCUAUGGGGGUAGCCCUAUGGGCCAUAAACAGAACUAGUGCAGUAGAAGGACUAGGAGUCCUUUGGGCAGCAUCCAUGUCCCUACGCUGGUUAAAUUGAGUUGAUUCAGUCCAUGUUAUUUCUACAGAUGUCCAGGAGACAGACAGAUCAAUCCUACUACUCUGCUCUGUCGUCUACUAACAUUAAAACAAGACAAUACUCUGAUUCCUCUCAGAGCACACCUAUUAAGGGAAUACUUAUUUUGUCCUCUAUCAUAAUUAUAAAACUAUUUAGGAUCUUUAGAUUGUGGGCAGAACAUUCAUGUGUUCCCACCCCAAACCCCUGCUGAUUGUGGAGGUAGUUUGGGGGAAGUGCUUCUUGUUGUUGGUUAAAGAGCUGAGAACGGCUGUGCUAUCGCCGUGGCGACUGCUAACCAAUCACCAGGCGGGGUUGGGGAGGCGGUGCUACCAGGCCUGUCCUGAUUGGCCAGCCAGCUGACAGGGCUGGUGUGGGUCUAUGCUUUGGGACUUCAUCAGGUCUUGUCUAUAACGGCAACCUACCCCCCAUAAUGCACUGCUUCUGAUGAACAGGAGUAGUAGUGCACCAUGUAGGAAAUAGGGUGCCAUUUGAGACGUGCCAGUCAGAGGGGCAGCACUCUGACCCCCGACGUGGCACCAUGUUUGUCCUGACUGUGUUUUAACCUGUUAGGGGAUCCAGUGGGACUCUUCUGAAGACCACUGCUCACAUUUAAACAGCUAUUGUUAACAAGGGGCAUAUUAACACACAAAGGAGUCUCUAAAUGUGUCUAAUGUUAAAAUAGAUCUCUAGAGGUCAAAGAAAUGUCCUAGGUCACAGGGGAACCCUAUCAGACAGACUGUCAAUUCAUCAAUAAUCACAAUGAAUGCAACAUUAGUUAAGUGCUCCCCAUUGGGAUAUAUAAUAAGAGCAUAGGGGAUAAUGCAGUAAUAUAAUAUAGGGGUAAGAGCUUCCAUACGUUGGAGCGUCAGGUUAAGGUGCGUACAUAAAUCUGUGGUCAAGGGGGUCUCAACACGGCUGGGCUAGGCUAAAUUAGCAUGCUACCAUAUUAACGUAAGUGCUAAUGUUAUUCAAGGGUCUGGCCUACGUUAGCAUGCUAACGCAUUAGCGGUGCAAAUGCUACUGAAGGGGCUAAGCUAUACACCGACGCUCAGGGUAAUAUUUUAUAUUUUUGAUGUAACUUUUAUUUAACUAGACAAGUCAGUUAAGAACAAAUUCUUAUUUACAAUGAUGGCCUACCGGGGAACAGUGGGUUAACUGCCUUGUUCAGGGGCAGAACGACAGAUUUUUACCUUGUUAGCUCGGGGAUUCGAUCCAGUAACCUUUCGGAUACUAGCCCAACACUUUAACCACUAGGCUACUUGCCGCCCAGGUAGUGUUGUGAUUAGCAAAACAACGCAGCGUAGCUAAUACAGAUGGGUCUGGAGGGAGGGGUUAGAGGCGCGGCUAACGCUAAUAGAUCAUUAUCGGUGGUGUAUUUAGCAAACGCCAUGUCAUCCUCCUCUUCCUCUCUGACCUCACAUGGAACACCGCUUGCCACGAGGUCCCUAUGGCAACCAUUUACAUCUGUGGUCAUGGGGUCUCAACACGGCUGGGCAACUAAACUUGUAAUGGCUACCAAGCCGAGGAACUAACAGACUAGCCAACACUGUGUGUUUAGUGUCGACGUUACUGUGCGUGUAAACCCACUAUUACUACCACUAAACACUGUAGUUCCAAGUCUAACUGUGCGGACCUCGGUAGGGGAGUGUAGAUCACAUCAUCCCAUUUCAAUUCACAAUAAAUUUGACCACUAGGAAGGGAUCAUUACAACAUGAGACAGUGUGCUGGGGCUACAACAGCCAUGUG